rnacentral:sRNA from 1 species
UCGCUGGAUUCGGAGGUGACCAUAAAGCCAGUCUCUGAUGCCUACACACAGACUAUACAGUGUGAUGGAAUACAGGCAAAACUUGAAUGAUUAUGAAAUAGGAUUCUAUCCACUGGCUGGCAUGCUGGAAAGCUUUAUGGUCCUCUUGGCACGUGCUACAGUGGGGACUCACAACAGCUCUAUGACAUCAUUGGAAGAGUGAAGUAAAGUACUGGAUGUUUAACUGUAAAGGAGCUUCUUCAAAUGGGAGAAAAGAUGGGAGAUACAUGCCAACAGUGAGUCCAUGCAGAAGUGGCAUCAUAACUGGUGACUAGAAGUGGAAUAAGAGAUUCUUCCUGCAUCACGACUGCUAUAGCACACAGUCAGAAGGAGCAAGUGACUCACUCACACAGCUGCUUGGAGCUACAAUGCCACACAGCCUUUGUCGACCAGCUAUUCCCUGUGAAAGAAGCCUAGUCAGUUUGACCUCUCUUCUGCAUCUUCUAAACUCUUGGCCAAGAUCUUCUGGAAGAUGCUUUCUCACAUCUGAUUUCCUACAAAGUGCCUGCCACAAUCUCGCCCAUCUCUCGCCAACUGGUAUACUGUCUCUGCUUUCCAAAAUUCUAGAUACUCAACAUCAACUCCUACAGAAGACAAAGAAUUAAUAAGAAGUAUGUCCAGAAGACACUAGCCCCACUCUUCCAACCCCAUCACUGUGCUCAGUAGAUUCCCUGGUUUAUAAUCCAACUGGAAGAACUGAGGCAGGCACUCCUGUAUGCUGGCUCCCCAUAUAUGACCAACCACUCACAUAUAAGGUCGGAUGCUCUCCUUUCUCUCUGUCAUCAAGCCACUGAAUUCAUCAGGAAGGAGUCCUCUAUCAGCUCAAGUGCUUUGAGCUCAUGUGCUCUGGGCUCCCCACUAUUUAGUGGGCAGCUCCAGCAGGCAUUGAAAUAGGCUCUUAUCUCAACUUGAACCCGAAACCUGUGACUCUACUUUAUUCUCCAAAUACAGAAGCCCAAAAACCAAGAAGUAGGAAGGUAAUGUCAGUGAUGUCAGUGGUACAGCACUGCGCAUGGUGUAUGGAUGCAUCCCUCUGCGUUGUAAAGAAGAAAAGUCUUCACUCAGAAGUGAUUGGAGACAGGAUUCUUCCCCAGAAGAAAACCUUAUUAAGAGUUCCAAUGGAGACUGCAGCCUGACUGAUGGUGCUCACAUUUCUUCAACAUCAGUGAGACCACCCUUGGCACAAGUGAGAAUGAUACGGUCAACCGGAAGGAUGGGAACACAACAGGAAGAUGGGCCUUUGGCAUGCCUGUGGGAAACUAUCUUGAUUAGAUUAAUGGAGGUGGAAAGAUUCUCCCACCAUAGGUGUCACCAUUCCCUAGACAAGGCAUCCUGGAGUAUAUACAAGUGGAAAAGGUCACAAAAUCUACCUUAUUAUGAGGGUGGACAUGCAAGCUUCAGUCAAAGGCUGUUCUACAGUGAGAAUCUGUGGGAUUCUUCAACGGUGUCUAAGAUGAUGAACAGCAAUGGAAGCCAUGGAAGUGUCCCACAUUAAAAUGAGGGGGAAAGCUGCAAAGGUGGAUACUGGAAAAGAGCAGAAGAUCCUGGGGAUGGUAAUGUCCUCCUAUUUUCAGAAAGCUGCACAUUCUAAGCAUUGCUGGACUUUAGAGAAAAACCCUGAAAAUAUCAAGCAAAUAAGAUCUGUAUCAGCUGGUGAAAUAUA